rnacentral:lncRNA from 1 species
UGUAAAGAAAGAGAGAAAGGGACUCUUUUCUGGGCCUGAGAUUAAAUGGUGCUGUGAAAACUGUUUUUGGGGGAGGGAUUGUAAUUUUUUUUUUUUCAUUUUAGGUAAAGCAGAUUAAUAUGGAGACUCCAAUCUUGUGAGUUUUGAAAGGUCAGGAAAGCAAUCCUCCAGGAAUUCAUGAGUCAGAGGCCAUUCUAGGUCUUGGUAGCCAGCUCAGCAUUAACGUCCUGAGGAGCAAGAAGUGACCUCUGGGACUCAGCCCAGGAAAAGCUGAGACAAGGAUAUAGCAGUGAUGCUGAAUUUGAAAUUGAAUUUGGUGGGACCAAUGUUAUGAAGGAACUGAAUGAAGAGAGAAUUUCCUCUCCCCUCAAAAUGAUUGGAAGGAUCUCUGGUCUCGAGGGAAGGUUGCCAAGAAUCCAGCAGCCAGCCACUGAUGUGUUAAGCAAUCUUUCCACCUUCCCCUGA